UAAUACGGAGGGCGCGAGCGUUGUUCGGAAUUAUUGGGCGUAAAGCGCACGUAGGCGGCUCGAAAAGUCUCUUGUGAAAGCCCGGGGCUCAACCCCGGGAGGCCAGGGGAUACUGUCGAGCUGGAGACAGGCAGAGGCUGGUGGAAUUCCGGGUGUAGCGGUGGAAUGCGUAGAGAUCCGGAGGAACACCGGAGGCGAAGGCGGCCAGCUGGGCCUGAUCUGACGCUGAGGUGCGAAGGCGUGGGGAGCGAACAGGAUUAGAUACCCUGGUAGUCCACGCGGUAAACGAUGGGCACUAGAUGCCGGUGGGAACGACCCCAUCGGUGUCGGAGCUAACGCAUUAAGUGCCCCGCCUGGGGAGUACGACCGCAAGGUUG
rnacentral:rRNA from 1 species